UUCUCUGCGAAUACGCGUGCUCUUGAGUGCUAGUCGACAAUUCUCUAUGCCCUAAGCGUCCGAUCUUCAAAUCAGUGGAAGGAGAAUUCUGGAUGUCUCAGAGACAUCGACUACGGAUGCAACCGUUAAAUGAUACGGUGCAGAAGCCGAGCUCCUUGCUGCAACCAGAUCGUCUCCUUGCUGUGUUAUAGUCUGCCUUGUUUAUUUUUCAAGUGCCUGCUUGUUGUUGUGUGCAGUUCCAUUGCGAUGAUUGUGGAAUCUGCAUACUAAAGUUUAAAGCCCAAUAAAGCAAACUCUCAAGACAUUGAUAGUGCGUAAGUUAGUUGCGCCCAUCAACUAUACUCAAGGGACAAGAAUCAUUCAGACAAGUGUUGAGAGACUGAAAAUACAUCUGAAGGGACUGCUGCCUUACAGCUAAGUAUUGAAUUUUUAAUCCUCUCACUAUGUUUCUGUGGUAACUCUUGUUCCACCCGCUCUUCAGUAAUUGUAUAGUCUUGCUAAGGCUUCUAUGUAGAUUGCAAGUGUUUUUAUCAGGACUAUGUUUAGGUUCAGGUUGGGAAAUGGUUAUAAUUUUUUCUAGUUGAUGUCAGUGCCAUUUAAACUGCUUUCUUUAGAAGUUUAACCGUUUUCCCAGAGCUGUAUAUCAACGCGAAAUUUCUGACUGAUACGCUCUUAUGCGCAAAUAUCACAGGGCUAGUUAGUCAUCGAGCUUGCGCAAUAAAUACCCGUGGGUUGGGAACUCCACUAAGAACUAUUGUCCUGUCUGUUGUGAUGUUUGUCCUCAGACUCAAGAAGUGUGCCUGAAAGGAAUUUUGUUUUAAUCUGUCCACUGUACAGCAUAUCUCUACCUCUCAAAUUCAGAGGACGGUGUUGUUUUCUUAAUCUGGCAGUAUCUGAUUCCAGCAGGGUCGGGAAUGUGAUGAAGUGUGGGUGCACCUAUGCAUAUGGAUUGCUUCAAGCUAAUCCCCGAGAGAGAACAACACCGAUGCCGCCUCAUUUGUUCCAAGUCAAUGCUGGAUAUGCCUUGCACAUGGCAGAUGUUAGAUGGGAGGAGGUAACGGCCAAGUUUGGAUUUUCUCCUCGUUGGUAUUAGGGGAUUUGGACAAACUGCUUGGGAAUAUAUCGGUUGCUUCAUAUGUUCUAGGCAUGCUUACUUUGCAAUCUCGCUUGUAAAAUUCAACAUGCUUACUGUGCUAUUCUCCUGCUUUAGCCUGUCCUUCGUGGCUUCUACUCCUCUUUUAAUCUGUAAAAUUCAUUAGGCCCUGCUUCCCUAAGCCCAUUGUGCUUCUGCUUUUCAAGUCCGUGAUAAACAAUAAUUCAUGAUAGCAUUGUUGGGCU